rnacentral:tRNA from 1 species
GCCGAUAUAGCUCAGUGGUAGAGCAACUGUCUCGUAAACAGUAGGUCGUUGGUUCAAUCCCAAUUAUCGGCA